UUGCAGUAGCUGCUGGUCUAUCUGGAAGGGGAUUAUCGCCUAAACAGUUUUUAUCCCCUUGUGAGCGAAACGGUCCGUUACACACAUCCCCGUGGUGGCGACUUUGCAUUCGGAUGUCAUCCAUAUCAACUUUCAAUGCCAGUUUCUGCAACUACCAUGGAGACCAAGGGUAACGGGGAAUCAGGGUUCCAUUCCGUACAGGGACCCUCAGAAACGGCUACCACAUGCAAAGAAGGCAGCAGGCGCGGAAAUGACCCACUCCCGACGCGGUAAGGUAGUGACGA